CCUACGGGAGGCAGCAGUGAGGAAUAUUGGUCAAUGGGCGCGAGCCUGAACCAGCCAAGUAGCGUGAAGGAUGACUGCCCUACGGGUUGUAAACUUCUUUUAUAAAGGAAUAAAGUGAGGCACGUGUGCCUUUUUGUAUGUACUUUAUGAAUAAGGAUCGGCUAACUCCGUGCCAGCAGCCGCGGUAAUACGGAGGAUCCGAGCGUUAUCCGGAUUUAGUGGGUUUAAAGGGAGCGUAGAUGGGUUGUUGAGUCAGUUGUGAAAGUUUGGGGCUCAACCGUAAAAGUGCAAUUGAUACUGGCAGUCUUGAGUUCAGUUGAGGUAGGCGGAAUGCGUGGUGUAGCGGUGAAAUGCUUAGAUAUCACGAAGAACUCCGAUUGCGAAGGCAGCUUACUAACCUGCAACUGACGUUGAUGCACGAAAGUGUGGGUAUCAAACAGGAUUAGAUACCCUGGUAGUC
rnacentral:rRNA from 1 species